rnacentral:tRNA from 1 species
GGCUUGUUGGUCUAGGGGUAUGAUUCUCGCUUUGGGUGCGAGAGGUCCCGGGUUCAAAUCCCGGAUGAGCGCA